rnacentral:lncRNA from 1 species
CAGAAUGGAAUCUAAAUCUCAUUUUAAGUCUCUGGGACACACAGAUGACCAAGUAUUGGGAACUAGAGAGCUUUCCAGAACUGUUCUCGCCUCGAUGAGAAAACAAUAACCUUGGUUAUUUGGAGAAUCACUGAAGAUGCUGUGUCACCAAAAUUAAGUCCCAUAAAAGUAGAUAAUCAAAACGAACGCUCGUAGUGGGCUUUCCAGCCCCCCUCAGACUCCGAU